GAUGCUUCCUGAAAACAAGAUCUCUGAUUUUUUUUGCAAUCCUCCUAGUCUGCCUGUGCGAAACUGACAAAGAUGGACAAAAUGCUUCCCUUUGCCUUAUCUCUUCUGAUCUGCUGGACAGUUGCUCAAGGUUUGGUGUGCAAUCAGUGUAAAUGGUAUCAGGACUGUUAUGGAGAAAAUACGACAUGUGUUACCGAGCCUGAUUAUCCAUACUGCUAUACAGCUGCAGUCUUAACAAGGGAAAAUACUUUUCAGAGUUAUGGUUGUGCCUACUUUGAGCCCUGCAACAGCUGGGAACCGUUUCUGGAUCAGGACAAGACAUAUGUAAUGAGAUGUUGUAAAUCUGACUACUGUAACGGGCAUUCUGUCACUGAGCACUUUCGUUCAGCAUUCUUCCCAUAAGUCAUAUUUCUCAUGCACCAUCUUUUCUAACCCCUGACAUGUAGCACAUGUGAAUCUGGCUUCUCAUAUCAAGAUGGUGCACCUUGACCUGUUGAAAACCUUGGAGGUGAAAGAAUAAA